GAUGAACGCUGGCGGCGUGCUUAACACAUGCAAGUCGAACGGAAAGGCUCCUGCUUGCCGGGGUACUCGAGUGGCGAACGGGUGAGUAACACGUGGGUGAUCUGCCCUGCACUUCGGGAUAAGCCUGGGAAACUGGGUCUAAUACCGGAUAGGACCACAUUUUGGAUGGUGUGGUGGAAAGUUUUUCGGUGUGGGUUGAGCUCGCGGCCUAUCAGCUUGUUGGUGGGGUAAUGGCCUACCAAGGCGCCGACGGGUAGCCGGCCUGAGAGGGUGGACGGCCACAUUGGGACUGAGGUACGGCCCAGACUCCUACGGGAGGCAGCAGUGGGGAGUAUUGCACAAUGGGCGCAAGCCUGAUGCAGCGACGCCGCGUGGGGGAUGACGGCCUUCGGGUUGUAAACUACUUUCGCUAGGGACGAAGCGCAAGUGACGGUACCUGGAGAAGAAGCACCGGCUAACUACGUG
rnacentral:rRNA from 1 species